rnacentral:rRNA from 1 species
UUUCCGUAGGUGAACCUGCGGAGGACAUUA